CUUCGGAACACGAGAACGAGACACUGAGUGGGAAACGAAGGUGAGAGGGAAGCGAGGAAGGAAAAAGGACAGCAGUCGACGCGUGCAGGUGGCGAGGAAAGGUACACUUGAGACGAGCAUCUGGCUGGUUCUCAGUGACAGGCAGACCACCACCACCACUCCUGCCCACAGAGCCUAUUCACCUCAACUGAAUCUACAAAUUUCUGUGCAAUCUGGUAUCUUCUGGACACUACGUAUUCCGUAUGCAGUAAGGGGCUUGAUUCAUGAUGUCCAUGAAGGAAAAGGUACCACUGCAGUGCUGUUGCAUCAAUCACCAGCUGCAUGAUGGCUGACUCCAUUUUCCUCUGAAAACUGUCAAAUAAAACCUCUACCAAAGAGUGAUCUAGUGUAUAAGACUUGUGGACUGGCAAUGUUGCUGGUAAUAAGCAUCCAAGUAUCUUAAGUCAAGGGACUCUACAACUCAGAAUUUAUUUUUUUAUUUUUUUUUUAAUAAAUAUAUUUUGACAGUACGUGUGUACGUCAUCUCCGGAGACUCUUCAAGGUAUUUUUUUUUUUUUUUUUUUUUUUUUUUUUUGACUGGGUGCACCACAUUUCUGGUUGAAGGGAAAACCACACAACAGAAAAGCAUGCUUAGUGACAGUGCCCAUGUGUUGUGGGGUAUAGGUAUAAAUUUGCCCAUGUGUUAUGGGGUAUAGGUAUAAAUUUGCUAUGUUGCAGGUAUAAAUUUGCUAUGUUGCAGGAAGAUGACUAACAUAUCUGGUAUUUGUUAAUUAGGUAUUUAUUAAUUAUGGGGUAUAGGUAUAAAUUUGCUAUGUUGCAGGUAUAAAUUUGCUAUGUUGCAGGAAGAUGACUAACAUAUCUGGUAUUUGUUAAUUAGGUAUUUAUUAAUUACUUAAUUACAUAAUUGUUAUUUAACAAAUAAAGUAAAUAAAUAGUGAUUAACAAGUAAUGUCAUAUUACCUAAUAUGUGGUAGAUCCCACAUGUGAUCAUAUUCUAUUUUGUGACUGAUGUUUCAAUUAUGAUGGUGACAUGGUGACAACCAAUGUUGUAACAUGAUGACACUGACAUGUGAUUGUUGCCAACCUUGGUAAAUUAAAAUAAAGUUCUGUGAGGUAA